rnacentral:rRNA from 1 species
CCAGCUCCAAUAGCGUAUACUAAAGUUGUUGCAGUUAAAAAGCUCGUAGUUGAAUUUCUGGUCUCGAGACUCAGUCAGCCCCAAGGGGCGAUACUGUGGAUUGGGACCAUCCUCGAGGAGAACAUAUCUGUCAUUGAGUUGAUGGGUAUGGGACCCUCGUCAUUUACUGUGAGCAAAAUAGAGUGUUCAAAGCAGGCUUACGCCGUUGAAUACAUUAGCAUGGAAUAAUAAGAUAGGACCUUGGUCUAUUUUGUUGGUUAUACUCCGAGGUAAUGAUUAAUAGGGACAGUUGGGGGUAUUCGUAUUCAAUUGUCAGAGGUGAAAUUCUUGGAUUUAUGGAAGACGAACUACUGCGAAAGCAUUUACCAAGGAUGUUUUCA